AAACCAUGACGAGGACACUCUAAGAGGAGGUCUUUGAAACGUUUCAUACAUCUAGAGAAUGAUCAUUGGGUCUUUGGCAAAACUAAAAAAUGUCAUUCCUAAGCUU
rnacentral:snoRNA from 1 species